AGUGGUAGCUCAACGGUUAAGACGUCAGAUUUCUGAUUAGAAGGUCGUGAGUUCAAAUCGCAGCACUG